rnacentral:misc_RNA from 1 species
GUUGACUGAAGGAAUGAGCUCUGUGUGGUGUGUGUGACUUUCGGAGUUGGUGUGUUUUACAGGGAAUAAGUCCAUCAGUUGUAACUACCCUCCUCGGUCAGUUGUAACUGUAGAAAGCAGCACUUAAUAGGAACUCACCUGUAAAAAGGAAACUAUCCAAGAUCAUAAUGAUUAAAGAUGUCUCUUUCCUCUCUUCUACCAUCUGGCUCUUCUCUAUAAUUCUCUCUCAUUUCUCCAAUUUCUAUUUCUUUUCUAAACAAGUCCCUUUUUAUUCCUUNNNNNNNNNNUUCUCUGUUUCGGAAGGCCGUACCAGAUCAUAACACAUCCCUACACAGAUGGUAUGGCCUACUAACCUACUUGAUCACAUAACAUGUUUGCUCUCCCAUCCUGAUAGACAAUUCUUUGACUUGAAUCAAUUGUAAACAGAUGCAUGCUUAAUGGAAGCUAGGCUUACCGAAUGUUUCAACCGCAUAGUUACAUGCUUU